AUUGAACGCUAGCGGGAUGCCUUACACAUGCAAGUCGAACGGAGUGGCGAACGGGUGGGUAAUGUAUCGGAACGUGCCCAGUAGCGGGGGAAAACUACGCGAAAGCGUAGCUAAUACCGCAAACGAUUUGAGCGGCCGAUGUCGGAUUAUCAUGUUGGGGGGGUAAAGGCGCACCAAGGCGACGAUCCGUAGCUGGUUUGAGAGGACGACCAGCCACACUGGGACUGAGACACGGCCCAAACUCCUACGGGAGGCAGCAGUGGGGAAUCUUGGACAAGGGGGGAAACCCUGAGGCAGCCAUCCCGCGUGUGCGAUGAAGGCCUUCGGGGUGUAAAGCACUUUUGGCAGGAAAGCGGUACCUGCAGAAUAAGCACCGGCUAACUACGUGCCAGCAGCCGCGGUAAUAC
rnacentral:rRNA from 1 species